UCUGCCCUCUACAGUGACCUUCAGCCACACAAUAAAAAGAGACUUCAGUGUAUCUCAGGCACAGCCUCUCGGUCCUGUAGCCAAGGGGUGAGGGGCACUCUGGACGUUUCUAUUUCUGGUCCUUUUUCAUCUCGCUUCGUCUUCCAUCAUGUCUUCUCUCCUGGAUAUGACCGAGUUUGGGGAGGCUGCUGACUACUUGCGGAAAAGUGACGGUGAACUUAUGAAGAUUCAGACCAUCGCUUUCGAUGGUAAGAAGAAAGCCUGGAUUCCAGAUGAGAAGGAAGCUUAUGUUGAGGUGGAAAUAAAGGAUUCUUCAGGUGGCAAUGUCACAGUGGAAACUAAAGACAAGAAGACUCUCACUGUGAAGGAAGAUGAUAUUCAGCAGAUGAACCCUCCAAAAUUCGACAUGAUUGAAGACAUGGCGAUGUUGACCCACCUAAAUGAGGCCUCUGUGUUAUCCAACCUGAGGCGUCGCUAUGCCAACUGGAUGAUUUAUACGUACUCCGGGUUGUUCUGUGUCACUGUGAACCCAUACAAAUGGCUUCCUGUGUACACACCCACCGUAGUUGCUGCUUAUAGAGGCAAGAGACGCUCAGAGGCUCCUCCCCAUAUCUACGCCAUCGCUGACAACGCAUACAAUGACAUGGUGCGGAAUCGUGAAAACCAGUCUAUGCUGAUCACUGGAGAAUCCGGUGCAGGCAAAACUGUUAACACGAAACGUGUAAUUCAGUACUUUGCCAUUGUGGCAGCCCUUGGUGAAGGGAUCGGGAAGAAGAGUCAAGCUCCAGCCACCAAAACUGGGGGCACCCUAGAAGACCAAAUUAUUGAAGCUAAUCCAGCGAUGGAAGCCUUCGGCAAUGCCAAGACCCUGAGAAAUGAUAAUUCCUCCCGAUUUGGGAAGUUUAUUCGAAUUCAAUUUGGACCUACUGGAAAACUGGCUUCAUCUGACAUUGACAUCUACCUUCUGGAAAAAUCAAGAGUAAUUUUCCAGCAGCCUGGAGAAAGAAGCUACCAUAUUUAUUACCAGAUCCUGUCUGGGAAAAAGCCAGAGCUUCAAGAUAUGCUGCUGCUGUCCACCAACCCGUACGACUAUCACUUCUGUUCACAAGGUGUAACAACUGUGGAUAACGUUGACGAUGGGGAAGAGCUUAUGGGCACUGAUCAUGCCAUGGAUAUCCUGGGUUUCAGCCCAGAGGAGAAGACUGGCAGCUAUAAAAUAGUUGGCGCCGUCAUGCAUUUUGGGAACAUGAAGUUCAAGCAGAAGCAGAGGGAGGAGCAGGCUGAAGCGGACGGCACUGAAAGUGCUGACAAGGCAGCCUAUCUAACAGGAAUCAGCUCAGCUGAUCUCAUUAAAGGUCUGCUCCAUCCCAGAGUAAAGGUUGGGAAUGAAUAUGUGACCAAAGGUCAAAAUGUGGAGCAGGUGGUAUUUUCAGUUGGUGCCUUGGCAAAGGCUACUUAUGAUCGGAUGUUCAAGUGGCUUGUUAGCCGAAUUAAUAAGACACUGGAUACCAAGCUGGCUAGACAGUUCUUCAUAGGAGUACUGGACAUCGCUGGCUUUGAAAUAUUUGAGUAUAACAGCUUUGAGCAGCUCUGCAUCAACUUCACCAAUGAGAAACUGCAACAGUUUUUCAACCACCACAUGUUUGUACUGGAGCAGGAAGAGUACAAGAAGGAAGGAAUCGAAUGGGUCUUCAUUGAUUUUGGCCUAGACUUACAGGCUUGCAUUGACCUCAUAGAAAAGCCAAUGGGAAUCCUUUCUAUUCUGGAAGAAGAGUGCAUGUUUCCUAAGGCAUCAGACAUGACCUUUAAAGCCAAGCUUUAUGACAACCACUUGGGGAAAUCUCCCAACUUCCAAAAGCCAAAAGUAGACAAGAAACGCAGAUACGAGCCUCACUUUGAGCUGGUCCAUUAUGCUGGUGUGGUGCCCUAUAACAUCAUGGGAUGGCUGGACAAGAAUAAGGAUCCUCUAAAUGAAACUGUGGUCGGAGUAUUCCAGAAGGCCUCCAACAAGCUAGUGGCCAGCCUGUAUGAGAAUUACAUCAGUUCCUACAGUUCAGGCGAGCAUAAGACGGGCGUGAAGGAAAAACGCAAGAAGGCGGCUUCAUUCCAGACUGUGUCUCAGCUUCACAAGGAGAAUCUUAAUAAACUGAUGACUAAUCUGCGGUCCACCCAGCCUCAUUUUGUCAGAUGCAUCAUCCCUAAUGAGAGCAAAACUCCAGGUGUCAUGGAUCCAUUCAUGGUCCUUCACCAGCUGAGGUGUAAUGGUGUCCUUGAAGGUAUUAGAAUUUGCCGUAAGGGAUAUCCCAACAGGCUCCUGUAUGCAGAAUUUAAGCAGAGGUAUCGGAUCCUCAAUCCCAAUGCCAUCCCAGACGACAAAUUUGUAGACAGCAGAAAAGCCACAGAAAAACUACUGGGGUCUCUGGACAUUGACCAUAACCAGUACAAGUUUGGACACACUAAGGUCUUCUUCAAAGCUGGUCUGCUUGGUCAACUGGAAGAGAUGCGAGAUGAGCGUCUGGCCAAGAUCAUCACCAUGUUGCAAGCCAGAAGUCGAGGUAGACUCAUGAGGAUUGAGUACCACAAGAUCAUUGCUAGAAGGGAUGCAUUGUUGGUUAUCCAGUGGAACAUAAGAGCCUUCAAUGCUGUUAAGAACUGGUCAUGGAUGAAACUGUUUUUCAAGAUUAAACCACUACUGAAAUCAGCCCAGACAGAAAAGGAAAUGGCCAACAUGAAGGAGGAAUUCCUGAGGCUGAAAGAGGCUCUGGAGAAGUCUGAAGCUAAGAGGAAAGAGCUGGAAGAGAAACAGGUUACUCUGGUCCAAGAGAAGAAUGACCUGGGUUUGCAACUUCAAGCCGAGCAAGACAAUCUUGCCGAUGCAGAAGAGCGAUGCGACUUGCUGAUCAAGACUAAGAUCCAGCUGGAGGCCAAAGCAAAAGAACUGAGUGAGAGGGUGGAAGACGAAGAAGAGAUGAACUCAGACUUGACUUCCAAGAAACGAAAACUGGAAGAUGAGUGUGCGGAACUAAAGAAGGACAUUGAUGACUUGGAAAUUACACUGGCCAAAGUAGAGAAGGAGAAACACGCCACAGAAAACAAGGUGAAGAACCUUGUUGAAGAGAUGGCAGCUUUGGAUGAGAUCAUCGCCAGGCUGACAAAAGAGAAGAAAGCUCUGCAGGAAGCUCACCAACAAGCUCUGGAUGACUUGCAGGGAGAAGAAGACAAAGUCAACACUCUAACCAAAGCCAAAGCUAAGCUAGAGCAACAAGUAGAUGAUCUGGAAGGAUCCCUAGAACAAGAGAAGAAACUCCGUAUGGAUCUAGAACGUGCAAAGCGAAAGCUAGAGGGAGAUCUAAAGCUCACCCAGGAGUCUGUGAUGGACCUGGAAAAUGAUAAGCAGCAGCUGGAGGAGAAACUUAAGAAGAAGGAUUUUGAAAUAAGCCAGCUAAAUUCCAGAAUUGAAGAUGAACAAAUGAUGUCUGCCCAGUUACAGAAGAAAAUCAAAGAGCUACAGGCCCGCAUAGAGGAGCUGGAAGAGGAGUUGGAAGCAGAGAGGGCCACCAGAGCGAAGGUGGAGAAACAGCGAUCCGAGGUGGCUAAAGAGCUGGAAGAACUGAGUGAGCGGCUGGAAGAAGCUGGCGGAGCCACCUCGGUGCAGAUCGAGAUGAACAAGAAGCGAGAAGCUGAAUUCCUGAAGAUGCGCAGAGACCUGGAGGAAGCCACACUGCACCACGAAGCCACAGCGGCUGGCCUGCGGAAGAAACACGCAGACACCGUGGCCGAGUUGGGUGAGCAGAUUGACAGCCUACAGAGGGUGAAACAAAAACUGGAGAAGGAAAAGAGUGAGAUGAGAAUGGAGCUGGAUGACCUGUCUUCAAAUAUUGAGCAACUCAUCAAAAAUAAGGGCAACGCUGAAAAGUUGUGUCGGACUUAUGAGGAUCAGCUGAGUGAGGCCAAAAGUAAGGUGGAUGAACUGCAGCGCCAGUUAGCUGAUAUGUCCCUUCACAGAGCCAGGCUGCAAACUGAGAAUGGAGAGCUAUCUCGCAUGCUGGAAGAGAAGGAAUCUCUUGUCAACCAACUGAGCAGAGGCAAAGCCUCCUUCACGCAGAGCAUUGAAGAACUGAAGCGGCAGUUAGAAGAGGAGACAAAGUCUAAAAAUGCUUUAGCACAUGCAUUACAAGCUUCCCGCCAUGACUGUGACCUCAUGCGAGAACAAUAUGAAGAAGAACAGGAAGCCAAAGCUGAACUACAGAGGUCUCUAUCAAAAGCAAAUGCAGAGGUAGCGCAGUGGAGGAACAAGUAUGAAACUGAUGCCAUUCAGAGGACAGAAGAACUGGAAGAUGCCAAGAAGAAGCUGGCAGCACGGUUACAGGAUGCUGAGGAGGCAGUGGAAUCUGCUAAUGCCAAGUGUUCCUCACUGGAGAAGACCAAGCAUCGACUUCAGACUGAGAUUGAAGACCUAGUCAUUGAUUUGGAACGUGCCAACUCUGCCGCCGCAGCCCUGGACAAGAAACAGAGGAACUUUGACCGGAUCCUUUCGGAGUGGAAGCAGAAAUAUGAGGAGACACAGGCCGAGCUUGAGGCUUCACAAAAGGAGUCCCGUAGCCUGAGCACUGAGCUCUUCAAACUGAAGAACGCAUACGAGGAGUCUCUAGAUAAUCUGGAGACCAUGAAGCGCGAGAACAAAAAUCUUCAAGAGGAAAUUGCUGAUCUCACUGAUCAAAUCGGUGCCAGUGGUAAAAUGAUCCAUGAACUGGAAAAGGUAAAGAAGGCUCUUGAAAGUGAGAAGACCGACAUCCAGGCAGCUCUAGAGGAGGCAGAGGGGGCUCUUGAACACGAGGAGAGCAAGACCCUAAGAAUACAGCUAGAACUCUCACAAAUUAAGGCAGAUGUGGACAGGAAGAUAGCAGAAAAAGAUGAAGAAAUUGAAAACCUCAGACGUAACCACCAGCGUGCCAUGGAGUCCAUGCAGGCAAGUCUAGACGCAGAGGCUAAAGCCAGGAACGAGGCCAUCCGACUCAAAAAGAAGAUGGAAGGCGAUCUGAACGAGAUGGAGAUCCAACUUAAUCAUGCCAAUAGGCAGGCUGCAGAGUCUCAGAAAAUGGUCCGACACCUGCAAUCCCAGAUGAAGGACUUGCAAAUCGAACUGGAUGACACUCUCCGACACAAUGAUGAUCUAAAAGAACAAGCUGCAGCCCUUGAGAGACGUAAUAACUUGUUACUGGCUGAGGUGGAGGAACUGAGGGCAGCACUGGAGCAAGCCGAGAGAGGAAGGAAACUGGCAGAGCAAGAACUACUAGAAGCCACCGAGAGGGUCAACCUUCUACACUCUCAGAACACUGGACUUAUUAACCAGAAGAAGAAACUGGACGCGGACAUCUCUCAGUUAAGCACUGAAGUGGAGGAAGCAGUUCAGGAAUGUCGGAAUGCAGAAGAAAAGGCCAAGAAAGCCAUUACUGAUGCAGCCAUGAUGGCAGAGGAGCUGAAGAAGGAGCAGGACACCAGUUCCCACUUAGAGAGAAUGAAGAAGAACAUGGAGCAAACAAUCAAAGACCUGCAAAUGCGUCUUGAUGAGGCUGAACAAAUUGCUUUGAAAGGAGGGAAGAAACAGAUCCAAAAGCUAGAAGCAAAGGUUAGAGAGCUGGAAGGGGAGCUGGAGAUUGAGCAGAAGAAAAACGCUGAAACUCAGAAAGGAAUUCGAAAGUACGAACGGAGGAUAAAGGAACUCACCUAUCAGACUGAAGAAGACCGGAAGAAUUUGGCACGAAUGCAGGACCUGAUAGACAAACUCCAGAUGAAAGUCAAGAGCUACAAGCGCCAGUCGGAGGAGGCUGAGACCCAGGCCAACUCCAGCCUUGUAAAGUACAGGAAGGUCCAACAUGAACUUGAUGAUGCAGAGGAGCGCGCUGAUGUCGCAGAGGCGCAAGUCAAUAAAUUGCGUGCGCGGACUAGAGAAGUUGUUUCUACCAAGGUGAUAACUGGGUAAUGAUGGGGGGGUUUACUCCGUGUUAGGGAAACACAGACUGCAGGACUCGGCCCAGUUUGAAGAAUGAGAAAGACUUGACAAUCCCUCCAGACAGCUGCAACAGCUGGACCCGACUCUCCCGAUUCUGCCUCCACCUCCCUCCCCAUCCCUGAAGUUAAAUAAAAUCUAUUGAGGCACAAUGA